rnacentral:rRNA from 1 species
GUGAGGAAUAUUGGGCAAUGCCCGCAAGGGUGACCCAGCAACGCCGCGUGGAGGAUGAAUGUCGUAAGAUUGUAAACUCCUGUUAGAGGGGAAGAAUAGUACCGGUUGGACCGGUAUAUGACUGUACCCUCAGAGAAAGCCCCGGCUAACUACGUGCCAGCAGCCGCGGUAAUACGUAGGGGGCAAGCGUUGUCCGGAUUUACUGGGUGUAAAGGGCGCGCAGGCGGGAUAAAAAGUCAGUGGUGAAAUCCUACAGCUUAACUGUAGAACUGCCUUUGAUACUUUUAUUCUUGAGUUCGGGAGAGAGAGACGGAAUUCCAGGUGUAGUGGUGAAAUACGUAGAUAUCUGGAAGAACACCAGUUGCGAAGGCGGUCUCUUGGUCCGACACUGACGCUGAGGCGCGAAAGCGUGGGGAGCAAAC